UGUAUGUUAUAAACACAUCUAUCCACUUCAACUCAGGAAUGUCAUUCAGCAGGUUGAGGUAUGUAAGCUCUGUGUUCUCGUAAGUGUGUUUACUCCGAACUGAAGCAAGACUGAAAUGUGUGUUAAUCGCCACAUAUGAAACAUAAGCUCAUUAUGGCCUUUCACAGGGAAUGACAGAGACAGCAAUCCACUGAAUGUCUCACAGAGGUGUCAGAGGUGCACAGACCAGAGGUUAGUGUGCUGUAUGGAGGAGGAGAUCGAGCAGAGGGAAAUGCAUUUCAACCACACCACUCCUCACAUUUCACCCCUGAGUCCCAAACCUGGAUUUCCUGGUUACUAUGCCCUCAUCUCCUUAGCACUACUCACUCUGAUUGGAUGUAUAGUGGCAGUGGUUGUGUAUAUUAAGAGGAAAUCAAGAUUAGAUGAGCUACGUCACAGGCUGAUCCCUCUGUACAGCUACGACCCCUGCAGAGGAACAAGACUGGGGAGACAAUGACAGGAAGGAUGAGGAGGAGGAGCUGGCUGAACCCUUGUGCAAGGAAGGAAAGCUCACCUUCUCAUCUCCUUAUGGAACCUGAAAAGAAAGACAGAAAGAAGAAUUUUUAUAAAUAUUUUGAGAGUGUCUUGAGGAGAUAAUCUUUCAGCAAAAAUGUGAAACUAGAGGAACCAUACAGAUCAUCAAAUUGAUAAGAAAUUCAACAGUUAUUGGCAGAGCACCUAAUUAUUAAAUUACUAUUUCUUGCCUCAUGACACAUGAUUGCAGCACACCAGACAGUAGAUGGCACUGUGUUCCUGUUUUUGUCUCAUUUGAGAAAUGUGCUUUUUUAAGAUGGCAUAAAGUCUUUUGAAGAAUAGGGCAAGAUGUUAUUCUUGGGCAAUAAACUAAAAGCUAAAAUCCAA